rnacentral:tRNA from 1 species
GCGGCGUUAGCUCAGCUGGAUAGAGCGUCUGACUACGAAUCAGAAGGCCGGGAGUUCGAAUCUCUUACGCCGCACCA